rnacentral:rRNA from 1 species
AUUGAACGCUGGCGGCAUGCCUUACACAUGCAAGUCGAACGGCAGCACGGGAGCAAUCCUGGUGGCGAGUGGCGAACGGGUGAGUAAAGUAUCGGAACGUGCCCAGUCGUGGGGGAUAACGUAGCGAAAGUUACGCUAAUACCGCAUACGAUCUACGGAUGAAAGCGGGGGAUCGCAAGACCUCGCGCGAUUGGAGCGGCUGAUAUCAGAUUAGGUAGUUGGUGGGGUAAAGGCUCACCAAGCCGACGAUCUGUAGCUGGUCUGAGAGGACGACCAGCCACACUGGGACUGAGACACGGCCCAGACUCCUACGGGAGGCAGCAGUGGGGAAUUUUGGACAAUGGGCGCAAGCCUGAUCCAGCCAUGCCGCGUGCAGGAUGAAGGCCUUCGGGUUGUAAACUGCUUUUGUACGGAACGAAAAGGUUUGGCCUAAUAAGCUGGACCCAUGACGGUACCGUAAGAAUAAGCACCGGCUAACUACGUGCCAGCCGCCGCCGUAA